CCUCCUCCUCCACCACCACCUCCUCCUCCUCCUCCUCGGCGGCGGCGGCGGCGGCGGCUCCCGCAGGCAGCCCCAGUCCCGCCUCCCCCCUUCAUUUCCUUGUUUUGGAACCUGGUGGGCCGCGCCGCGGCUUCCUCGAGCUCAUUAACGAACCAUCCCGCCCACCCCGAGGUCGCGGGGGCUCCUGGGAAAUGUAGUUCCGGAGGGCCCCAACAGCAACCGAGUUUCGCCAGCAGAAGAAAUACAACACCCAGGCUGCUUUGGGCCGCCACAGCCCCGCCCCGCGAGGCGGGCACGCCUGCGCACUGCGGCCGCCCCUCCCCCUCAGGUAGCGCCGGACUGCCAGUUCCUGUGAAGGUCUGUGCAUAAUGGUGACGUUCUCCAAGGAUGUCUGAGAAAGUGUCCUUAAUCAAGAGUUUUCCAGAUCUGACAAAUGUUGAUACCUUCUAUGAUCAUAAAUAUCAUAAUUUAUUAAUAUCUCCAUGGAUCUCAUCAGGAAACUCUUUAAGAAUUGGGAAGAUACCAAGCUCAUAGUGUCAGGCUGGUAUGUAGAGAGAUGUGGAUGAGCUUUAAUCAUGUGAAUGAAGAUUGCAACCUGUGGUAAGAACUGACUAGAAGGAACCAGGGCUCCUGAAUGAUCUCCCAAAGCAGAGCUACCCACUCACUCACCCUUGACCACUUCCCUGCCUCUGGAUGUUGUGUGAGAGAAAUAAACUUUAAACCUUUUUUUUUUUUUUUUU